rnacentral:lncRNA from 1 species
UAAGAGUAUCUACCAUCCUCAUUUUUUAGUAUUUAACUGGAUCUCACGUGUACACAUCACUCAUUUAUAAUUUUUUAAUAAUAGUACCUAAGAAGUAUUCAAUCUCUCCGAUCCAAUAUAUCUUAAAAAAUUCUAAAUAAACUCUACCAAUAACACAUCUCACCAAUAAAUAUACAUCAUUAUAAAUGAGACCCAUAAAAAUAAAAUAAAUACUAAUGCUUAUUGUAGAAUCAGUAUUGCUCUGAUAGUAGUACGUAAUAAGUAUCAUGAGUACCUAAUAGGUACUACACCAUUGGAGAUGAUCUAUAUUAGUGAUUUACCUUUGUCCUCAACCGAAUUUGAAGAUCAAGCACAUAUAAGUUAAACUGAAUUUGAUAAACUGAAUUUUGUUACAAAGUUCCAUCUUUGUUCAAUUCAAAACCAAACCAAAAGCUUCUAAGUUCCUAUCAGAUCAGAAAGAUCCGUAUGCCAAGCAACUAAAAAGUUAACAAAUCUGGGAAUGAAUUUUUUUUUAUCCAUUUUCUGGUUUUUUUUGUUUUUACAAAGAGUUUACUACUUGAUUCUACUCCAUCUUUUUCUUUUUAGUUUUAUUUUAUAGAUUGAAGAUUCAUUAAUUUUAUCUUUGUGGAAAUAAUUUUCCCUUUUUUUUAGUCUUUUUUAAAAUUUCUUAUAUUAUUUUGUUGAAUGAUUAUGGUAGUAUUGGUUUCCACUUUCCAUAGCCACACAUGUAUAGUUGAUGUUACUGGAAAUAGAUGAGAGAGACUAAAGAUGAGAGAUAAAUCUAAAAGAGAACAUUAUCUUAUAUAGACAAUACACAACACGAUCAAUGAGCCAUCUUAAUCUAAUGGAUAUGACCAUUUGUCCAACAUGCACCAAAACAUGUUUUAGUCCAACCUAAACGGACCCCUUGAAGACAUAAUUAGCUGGGAUGCUUAGGCACAAAAGUUGCACAAGCAUAAUAUUU